rnacentral:rRNA from 1 species
UUGGAGGGCAAGUCUGGUGCCAGCAGCCGCGGUAAUUCCAGCUCCAAUAGCGUAUAUUAAAGUUGUUGCAGUUAAAAAGCUCGUAGUUGAAUUUCGGGAUCAGAUUGUUGGUCGUGCCUCGGUACGUACUGGCAUUAUUGGUUCCUACCUUCUGAAGAACCGCGAUGUCAUUAAUUUGGUGUUGUGGGGAAUCAGGACUGUUACUUUGAAAAAAUUAGAGUGUUUAAAGCAGGCGCACGCUUGAAUACAUUAGCAUGGAAUAAUGAAAUAGGACGUUUGAUCCUAUUUUGUUGGUUUCUAGGAUUGACGUAAUGAUUAGUAGGGAUAGUUGGGGGCAUUAGUAUUCAAUUGUCAGAGGUGAAAUUCUUGGAUUUAUUGAAGACUAACUACUGCGAAAGCAUUUGCCAAGGAUGUUUUCAUUAAUCAAGAACGAAAGUUAGGGGAUCGAAGACGAUCAGAUACCGUCGUAGUCUUAACCAUAAACUAUGCCGACUAGGGAUCGGAUGAUGUUAAUUUUUUAAUGACUCAUUCGGCGCCUUACGGGAAACCAAAGUGUUUGGGUUC